UGCAUCGGCUGGGAAUCGAACCCGGGGCACUCGGGUGGCAGGCGAGCAUUCUACCACUGAACCAAAAGC
rnacentral:tRNA from 1 species